UGGUGAUAUUUUCUGAGCAUUUUUGGCAAC
rnacentral:piRNA from 2 species